GAAUCGGACGAAUUACACACCACGAGUCUGAUGAUGGUGACUAUGAUUUAUGUGAGGAAAAAGGGAUGGACUUCAGCCUCAACUUCUGAUGCACCACCCCCGGCCAUAUCUAGUCUCACCACUACUUUCCUCACUCCCAUACCUCGUGUGUGGGCCUUCUCCAUCAGAGCUUCAAAUUUUUGGUUUUGUUGGUUUUCUUUAUGAGCUAUAGCCUCUUUGACUCUUAAGUGUUAUUUAUUUGCUAUGGCGACUAUUUCAGCGCUGAAGUCCUUAGUGCCUCCUCAUCGUCAGAACCAAAUUGGUUUUUAGUAUUGCUCCUCCUCCUCCUCUGGUAGUCUACAGUUGGUUGCCGUUACACAAUAAGUCAAGCAUGCUUGCCUCUUGGCCUGUUUCAGAAACCAUUUUGUGUGGCCCAUUUAUUGGCUUUUAGCUUAAGAUACUGUGAUAUUUUUUAGCUCAUUUCCAAUUACUUAAUUGUAUUUAUUUCAAGCAUUAUAAUUAUCUUU